CCUACGGGGGGCAGCAGUCAGGAAUAUUUGUCAAUGGACGAGAGUCUGAACCAGCCAAGUAGCGUGAAGGAUGACUGCCCUAUGGGUUGUAAACUUCUUUUAUAUGGGAGUAAAACAGGGUAUGCAUACCCUCUUGUAUGUACCAUAUGAAUACGGAUCGGCUAACUCCGUGCCUGCAGCCGUGUUAAUACGGAGGAUCCGAGCGUUAUCCGGAUUUAUUGGGUGUAAAGGGAGCGUAGGUGGGUUGUUAAGCCAGUUGUGAAAGUUUGCGGCUCAACCGUAAAAUUGCAGUUGAAACUGGCAGUCUAGAGUACAGGAGAGGUGGGCGGAAUUCGUGGUGUAGCGGUGAAAUGCUUAGAUAUCACGAAGAACUCCGAUUGCGAAGGCAGCUCACUGGACUGCAACUGACACUGAUGCUCGAAAGUGUGGGUAUCAAACAGGAUUAGAUACCCCUGUAGUC
rnacentral:rRNA from 1 species